rnacentral:tRNA from 1 species
GGUAAGAUAGGUCAAGUUAUAGAUCAACGGGCUCAUACCCCGGAGGUACCUUAGUGUUCUUACUG